GAUUACAGAUCCAGACUCCUGUGCCUUACCACUGCCCAUGGCCAACUCUCUGCUGAUGACCGGGCAUGACUACACCAGUUGUUGGCCAUCUUAAAACCGCUCAAAGCUGACGGUCUCCUCUCCUGCCUCCCAUGGCUUCCAUUACCAUGGCAGAGACUGUGGUCUCUGAGGUGGUAUAGAGUACUGAAGCAAGGCUGUCUUGAAGAAGAGGAGACAACCCACAAUUCUACCACCUUUGUUGACCUCUUCUUCUUCCCCGACUUAUUGCUGUAGAGGCUACCUGAGCUCAUUGUCCCUGGAGAUGGACCAAAUAGAAGAACAAGCAGUGCCUGUGUAGUGAGCUUCAAGAGGCAUCUGUUCUCUGGGGAGUGGGUGGGUGGUAAAGAAAAGGUGGGAGAUGUGUAUAUUAGCUAUCCAUUACUGUAUAAUUAAUUAUACACAAAACUAAACUAUACACUAAACUAAAACUUCACAGCUUAGAACAGCAAGUAUGUAUUAUCUCACACAAUUUCUGAGAGUCAGGAAUCUGAAAAUGGCUUAGCUAGUUUGGUUCUGGCUCAGGGAGCCCUAUGGAGUUGCAGCCAAGAUGUCAUCUGGGACUACUAUCAUUUGAAGGCUCAGCUGAGGCUGCAGGCUACGCUUCCAAGAUGGCGCACUUAUAGGGCUAUUGGUGGGAGGCUUCAGUUCCUCUCCACGUAGAACUUUCCUCAUGGCAUGGAACUGGCUUCCCUCAGAGUGAAAGACCCAACAGAGACACUAAGACAGAAGGUGCAAUGUUUUUAUGACCUAGUCUUGGAAGUGACAUACUGUCAUUUCUACUAUAUUUUAUUCAUUAGAAGCAAGUCAUUAAGUCCAGCCCACACUCAGAGUGAGAGGAUUUAAGCUGAACCUCUUGAAGAAAUGGUAUCAAAGUAUUUAUGGACAUUUUAAAAACUACCACAAUACAUAUAGGUGAACUUCACAGGUGUAGACACGGGCUGAGACAGAAUAUUGGAUAAUAUCUCAUUCUGCAAACAGCAGUCUCAUCUGUAAUAAAAUCCCAGCAUUCAGAAAUUAUCACAAUCAAGUAGGAAAAGAGCUUGUUGGCAAAAACUUAUCAAAGAUGUUACUCCAUUUAUCCAUUUAUUCUGAGCCACAGCAUAAUAGCAACAAAUUGUGUGUCCUGUGUAAUUUGGGUACCUCUGCUCAAUAAUAGCUGAACAGAUUUUAUCCUAUUUUUAGAAUGGUUAAUAUAUACACAUGGCACAAAAUUUAAAAGAUAUAAAAGUUUCUGAUUCAAAAAUAAUGCUCCCUCCUUUUCUUUUUUUCUGAUUCUUUGAAUGCAAUUAGAUUUACUGAUUUCUCAUGUAGCCUUCCAUGUACAGCCUCUGCUGUACAUGUAGGUACACAUAUUUUUUCUUUCCCACAGAUAAAAUACUAUAUGCAUUGUUUUA